rnacentral:rRNA from 1 species
CCUACGGGAGGCAGCAGUGGGGAAUAUUGCACAAUGGGGGAAACACUGAUGCAGCGACGCCGCGUGAAGGAAGAAGUAUUUCGGUAUGUACACUUCUAUCAGCAGGGAAGAAAAGGACGGUACCUGACUAAGAAGCACCGGCUAACUACUUGCCAGCAGCCGCGGUAAUACGUAGGGGGCAAGCGUUAUCCGGAUUUCCUGGGUGUAAGGGGAGCGUAGGCGGCGAUGCAAGUCAGAAGUGAAAGCCCGGGGCUGACCUCCGGGACUGCUUUUGAAACUGUAUGGCUAGAUUGCAGGAGAGGCAAGUGGAAUGCCUGGUGUAGCGGUGAAAUGCGUAGAUAUUAGGAGGAACACCAGUGGCGAAGGCGGCUUGCUGGACUGUAAAUGACGCUGAGGCUCGAAAGCGUGGGGAGCAAACAGGAUUAGAUACCCGAGUAGUC